CAGUCGCCGCGGGAAUACGGAGGGUGCAAGCGUUAAUCGGAAUUACUGGGCGUAAAGCGCACGCAGGCGGUUUGUUAAGUCAGAUGUGAAAUCCCCGAGCUUAACCUGGGAACUGCAUUUGAAACUGGCAGGCUAGAGUCUUGUAGAGGGGGGUAGAAUUCCAGGUGUAGCGGUGAAAUGCGUAGAGAUCUGGAGGAAUACCGGUGGCGAAGGCGGCCCCCUGGACAAAGACUGACGCUCAGGUGCGAAAGCGUGGGGAGCAAACAGGAUUAGAUACCCCUGUAGUCCCUGUCUCUUAUAC
rnacentral:rRNA from 1 species